UAUUUAAAAGUAGUGUGACAUAAUACGUGUCAUAUCUUUAAAAAGAACACAAUGGGACAAUGUUAUGGAAGUUAUGGAAAACAACCACUGCUUGGAGCCUUUGGCGUGGAAACACGAAGUGAUGAUAGAAUACAACCCUUAGUAGAUUGUAAUGAACAGAUGAAAGAAGCUGUGCAGAAUUCAAUGAAUGGAAAAAAUCCUGGUGAGUUGAGAUCGCUUACCUAUCGAACUGCACUUGCAGCAGGGACUUUUUUCAUUGUGAAGGUGAGAUCAGAAUAUAGCGGUUAUCUGCUACUGAAAAUAUUUGAACCUCUUCCCGAAACAAAAAAGCCGGUAAAAUUAUGGGGGAUUCGAGUCACCAAACCAAUAUGAACAUUGUGAACAUAGAUAUAAAUAACAAAUUUUGAAUUGACUGGAUAACUCCUGUUUUAAAUUUUCUUUUAUAGUACUUCAUCAUGUUAAAAUGCAUUCAAAGCUCUGUAACAAAUAGACAACAUUUUCCUAAAACGUUGAAACAGUGUCAAUUUAGUUGUAAAUAUAUGUAAGAACUUUAACACAAUAUAUAUUUAAUGCAGAUAGUUUUCAAUGUGAGCGCUAACAGUAAGUAGUUUAUCAAGCAUUGUCACUUUUGUAUUAUAUCAUAUAUUUACAGAAAAACUUUUAUAAAUGCUUAUUAAACUUAAGAUACAUGUAGAAAUAUUUCUUAGCAUAGAUCAUGUUCAACGCAAGAAAAUUAUUUUAUUAUGUAAAUGAAUGACUAUUAUUUUAUAUUUACUAUAUAAUAUCGGUAAGGUUAUGUUGCCUAUAGUUUAUACUUUUUAAUUCUAGUGAAAAUUUGGUAUAAAUACCAAUAACAAAGUCACGAUUGAUAUCUUAUACGGUUGUUUUCCUCAUUUGAAGUCAAGCAGCAUUCACCCCCAGUCUUUUAUGGAGUUCGUGUUGCUGUUGAACCCCUAUUUGUGAUUUUGUUACCUAUUGUGUUUGUUUUGUUCACAAGUCGUUGUCAAUAUAAUGGAAUUGGAUGCGACUGUCACCAAGUGAGAGGUUUAGCUAGCUUUAAAACCAGGUUCAAUCCACAAUUUUCUACAUAAGAAAAUUUCUGUACCAAGUCAGGAAUAUGACAGUUCUUAUCCAUUCGUUUGAUGUGUUUGAGUUUUUGAUUUUGCCAUUUGAUUAGGGACUUUCCGUUUUGAAUUUUUCCUAGGAGUUCAGUAUUUUUGUGAUUUUACUUUUUUCCAUAUAGGUCUAUGCCUAGCAUGAUCUUAACAGAUUCGUUUUAUGUAAAGAAAUUAAUGCAUUUUAAGAAAAAUUAUUAUAAUUGAUUAUUUCCGAUUAUUUAGAUGUAAAUCGUAAAAAUCUAAGUGAUGUCCAGGGGAUCCGAUAUAGUUUUGAGACAACAACACGAGCACGAUUGCUAAGGACAUUUAUUACAAAUAUAUAUUGAUUCGUUAAUAUAGACCCAUAGAUUAGAAACUCAAAAUAAAGUAAAAUACCUUUCUAUUAUAAUUUGCCCUGAUAUGUUUUACAAAUUAUUCAAAAAAUGUUCUAUAGUUUGUAUCUAAUAUAGUAAAGCGGCUACCCAUAUUCUUUUGUGUUUAGGUUUACAAACACUAUUCAUGCAUGCAUGUGGCAAACACAUGUGGAGUUGUUUAUAACAUUUCCUUCAGAUUAAUCUACCCCGUUAUCCCUCAUAACUUUUGAACUGAUGUAGUGUUCAAUUCUUUGUUGUUUAAAUUUAUUUUUUUUUCUCUAAAUAACGAUGCUGAAAUUCUAAUGAAAGAUUGUUUUGCUCCAUUCAUCACUUUCCUAUCAAAUAUAAAUUGGAUUGUUCAUAUAUUGCAAUAGAUAUUUGUUACAGUUUGAAUUUUCGAUAACUAAAACAAUAUUAGUACCGAUAAAACAUUAAACAACCUUUCAGAAUAAACCACUUCAAAAUAAACUAGUUUACACGGAUCGUGUCUUCAAUUUUUGGCUGUAUAAACAAUAUCAACCUAAAAAUUAGGACGUGACAUCCCGUUUUUAUAAGAAUUCAACAGGUACAGCUUAGUGUUUUUACCGAAUCAAUGUAAUAAUUUGAUAAACUGUUUAAAAUUAUGUUUGGAAACGAAAUCACUGUAUUAAUAAUUCAUCAGUUACGCAUAAUUUGGUUCAUUGAAAUCUACAGACACGGGCAAAGCGAACAAGUUGUGAAACACGCACUGUGUAUGAAGAGGCUAAAUGAAUAUCCCCAUUCAAAGAUUGAAAAACAACAAUCUGGAACGAACAAUUGUCUCUUUUUUAUCAUAAUUUAUGUAUAGCAUUUUCCGUGUCAAACUGGAUUAUCCAAAUCUAGAAAAAAAUACCCUGAAUGCUGUUUGUAAUUAUCUCCGCAGUGAAAUUAGAAAUUGCCUGAUUAUUUUAAGCAGAUAUAUUAUUCACGGAACGCAAUUGGUGUCCAUAGGAGUACCUUCAAACUGUCUAUAAAAUGUAUUGCCGCAACAUACAGAGAUUUUGACAAGAAGAAUAUUUACAACUUUAAUCUUGAACUUCAUUAAAAUUCUUCAAGUAAGUAUAUCUAGCAUAUGUUCCUGUUUUAAAAGAGAAAUUUCCAUACGAGUUGCAGCAAAUAAAUCGACAACCAGAUUUGUCAAAGGAUCAUUAAAUUAAUCAAGAAAACAUAUGCUUGGUUAAACGAAUGCAAGUCUUACAAUAACGUUUUUGCAAAGACGUAAACAGUGAAACUUGUGUACACAAAAUAUGUUUCACAUUAACAGUGUAAACAUAACCUUAGAUCAUAUCACAUCGUAAAGUCAUGUUCCAUCUAAUAUUUCAUUUUAAAACAUUUAAUUGUGCCACAGGAGAAGAUAUGUAGAAAGGAGUGGGCCCAGUAAGAUCCCUUUUCGGCCCCAAAAUAUAGCAGUUUUACAAAAUUGUUGAAAUGUAAACUUUUAGCUAUUUUUGGAAAGUAGAAUACUUCUGUUACAUAAAUAUGGACUGUUUUUGACAAAACAAUGCACAUGUAUCGUGUACUAGCAUCAUUAAGUCAUGCUUAAUUACUGAAAUCUUCACAAUUUUAGCAUUUGAGUUAAUUUUAGACGGUUUCUUGUCUUAAAUGGAAGUGGCCGCAUUUGUGUUUAUUCUUAAUAUUUAAAUGAAUGUUGUAUUUGAUGAUAAUACAUUACAUAUAUAAAGGUUGAGACUGACCACGUAUGCGGCCACUUUCAUUUUUGACAAAAACCAUCUGAAAAGUGACAUAUUAUAGAUUUUUCAUAUUUAAGCUUGAAUUUGAGUGUCUUUAAUGACUAACUCAUUUCAAAUCUUUCACAUAAACUAAAUGAAACGACUGAAGUAGACACUUAAGUAUCUAAAAAGUGUCCAAAAUCUUUCAUCAGAUGAACCUGAAGUUUGAGGCCAAAAUCGGCCCUUACCGGACCUACUCCUUUAAACAACGAACCACAACAAUGAUAUAAAUAUAUUUAUAUAUCAGAGAAGAAAAGAAAGAUUAUCAAAUGAUGUAUGUUUAUUUUUUUUCUUAUCUUGGUAAAACAAUAGUCUUAUAUUGUUAUAUUUCUUAUAACCAUGUGAAACCUUAGUCAGGUGGUGCUGAAAGAGUGAUGUAAAACCCUGACUAUUGAAAAAAAAAACAAAUAAUAAUAAUAAAACAAAUAUAUAAAUA